rnacentral:rRNA from 1 species
AGGGUUCGAUCCUGGCUCAGGAUGAACGCUGGCGGCGCGCCUAACACAUGCAAGUCGAACGGCACCCCUCUCCGGAGGGAAGCGAGUGGCGAACGGCUGAGUAACACGUGGAGAACCUGCCCCCUCCCCCGGGAUAGCCGCCCGAAAGGACGGGUAAUACCGGAUACCCCGGGGUGCCGCAUGGCACCCCGGCUAAAGCCCCGACGGGAGGGGAUGGCUCCGCGGCCCAUCAGGUAGACGGCGGGGUGACGGCCCACCGUGCCGACAACGGGUAGCCGGGUUGAGAGACCGACCGGCCAGAUUGGGACUGAGACACGGCCCAG